rnacentral:rRNA from 1 species
UACGGAGGUGCGAGCGUUGUCCGGAAUCACUGGGCGUAAAGGGCGCGUAGGCGGCCUGAUAAGUAGGGGGUGAAAUCCUGCGGCUUAACCGCAGGGCUGCCUUCUAAACUGUCAGGCUUGAGCACAGUAGAGGCAGGUGGAAUUCCCGGUGUAGCGGUGGAAUGCGUAGAGAUCGGGAAGAACAUCAGUGGCGAAGGCGGCCUGCUGGGCUGUUGCUGACGCUGAGGCGCGACAGCGUGGGGAGCAAACAGGGA